CCUCCUGGGUGCAGAGGAGGUAGUUGAAAGGAAUCUGAGGACUGGCAGGUGGAAGCUGCAGCUCACGUGGUCACAGACGAAAUCUGUAACAAGCCCAAGGUUCUUGACCCCCCUGUGUGACGAAGGGGUUGCAUGUUCCAACUCACGGCCUGCUUCUUUAAAGCAACACCAGACUGGGAGAGCAAACUCAAAUACCUACAGAGGCCAGGCAGGGGACACGAGUGCCUGAAGCAGGCUGGGCCUAAGACGAUAGGGAGUGGUGGUGACUGUGGAAAAUGAGACCCAGGAACAGUCUAACGGGGACACUGGCAACUUAGCUCCAACUACACAUCAGACCAAGCAGAAGUGUAGGACCAGGGUAGCAGAUCUGACAAUCUUCCAAAAGCAGAAAUUCUGAAUCUUGUGUAAAAAUCCCCCAAUGGCAGAUUCUGUAAAAUUGAAACAAAAUUAAACUCAUAGCGCCCCUGCAGCCCAAGCAUAACGUAUCUUUGCCUAAAUCUACAAAGGAAGGUCCAUUUUGUGACCUUGGAUGUAGACACUAUGUUGGCAUCGUCUAGCGGAGUGGAAUAUGAGGCCCGAUUUAGAAAACAGACAAGUCAGAGCUGUUCUGGGGCAGAGCAGCCAGAUGGGACCACAUCUUGGCCGCCCUUUCCAGCUCCAAGGUGUUGGCCCCAGACUUUCUAAAGUGACGAUUCUUCCCCAGGUUCACGGGAGCCCCCUGGUGGGAAAGAGGUUUUCCUGCAGGUUGCAAACUUGCCACCAAGUCCCUGAAAGAGCAGAGUGAAGGGCAUCUGGGGGGACAAGAACUCAGAUUUCAGGACACCUCCGUCUCUCCUGUGUCUCCGUAGAAUCAGGCACUCGAGUGACUGUGACACCAAGUGCAGCCUCUCUCUCUUUAGGGUGCCUCCAAUCUUCUCAACCUAUGUCACAUAUAAGAGAGGUGUCUGCCUGGACCAAUCUGAGCCUCGCUUUCCUCCUCUACAAAAUAGGAAGAGGGGUCCGUGCUCCGCCCACCUCACAGGGGUGUUUGUCACAACAGUGGAAACGGGGUAUGGACGUGUGAGCGUUAGGUGUGGAUCAAGGCAGAAGAUAGGGCUUAUUAUCAUUUGCCACAUCUGGGUUCUGAACUAGCAAGAAAGGAAGAACUUGACUUUGGCACGUCUCUCCUCAUUCCCCAGGCUCUAGGCAGGUGUCCAGGAGGUGGGCCCAGCGUUGUGGAUUUCUGAACGUCCUGAUGAUCACGACGCCGUGGCUUUGCCAGCCUGCAGCGUGCGUCUGUCAUGCUGGGGGUAGAAGCAGGGCAGCCCACAGGCAGCUCUGCUUGCUCCUGGGUGGGCUGGUGCAGAGGGUCUCAGCCACCUCUGCAGCCAGAGAACCCGUCCAGCCCUCCAGACCCAGGGCGAUGGCAGAAGGCAGAGCAGGGCUGCCCCCCUCAAUGUGCAUGUCCACUGGGCACCCCCACUGCACCAGAACAGAGAAGCAGGGGUGAACGGGGGUCCCUGCCCUCAAACGAGGGGAGGAGGGGAAGAUGGGCCCUCGGCUGUGGAAGCCUUUCCACAUUCGAGUAGAGCAAACGCAUCAAGAGUCCUAAGAAACCCUGUAGGAGAUCUUCAGUUCAGAUCAGAAGGGGUGGUUUUGAACUUGGCCUGAAAGAUUUCUAAGGGGUGUGGGCUUUAUAGACAGAAGUAUCUGUGUGAACAAAGGCAGGAAAGUAGAGAAAACCCAUAAUGUGUUCGAGAACCUCGGUUAUUGGAGUAGAAUAUAUGAGAGGAGGAGAAGCUGGAGGCAGGAACAGAAGGGGAGAGGCAGGGAGGGAGGAGUCUGGAAAAGAGGGGGAGGGGAGAGGGGAAAUGAGGAGGGGGAGGGAGAAGGAAGGGGAGGGGAAUAAAGACCACCCUUCCACCUGGAUGCCCACUGCCUUAGGAAAUCUGAAUUGUUAAAACGGAAAUUGGAGUUCCUGGUAUGGCCCAGCGGGUGAAGAACCUGACUAGCAUCCAUGAGGACGUGGGUUUGAUCCCUGGCCUUGCUCAAUGCCGUGAGCUGUGGUGUAGGUCACAGAUGCGGCUUGGAUCUGGUGUUGCUACGGUGGUGGUGUAGGCCUGCAGCUGCAGCUCUGAUUUGACCCCUAGCCUGGGAACAUCCAUAUGCCAUGGGUGUGGCCCUAAAAAAAUAAAACAACAUAAAAUAAAAUAGGUAAAACCGGGAAGGCUUUCUUGCUAGUUCUAGCUGUCCCACCCCCAUCCAAACCCCACUCUUUGGGUGUGAGGCAGGGUGGGUGGGGGAGAGUUUCUUGGAGGGAGGGGUUCCCAGAAGACAUCCUUGCAGGCCUCCUGCUGCCCUGAGCUCCUGGCCCCUGGCCCUGGGGAGUGGUCUGGGGGGAGCAGCCCCUUCCGGGCUCCACUGCCUGUAGAUGGGAAUUCAGCUGCCAGCUCCCCUCGUGGUUGCUGUUGGCUAGGCCAUUGCUUGGUUUCUUGAUUUCUAAAGCGGAGGGACCGUGACCCCCUCACCAGCAAGGCCUUGGCCAGGGGCAGUGAGCGAGCCCUGAGGCUUCUGGCCACAGCAGCUGGUGCUGGCUGGAUUCCAGCACUUUCACCCCAAAGCCCUUGUGUCCCAGUGGCUUCUCCUUGGGCCCAGCAUGAAGCAGGACCAAAAACCCCAGGAAGAAGCCAGGCUUCUCCAGGGCCUUCCCUGUCCCAGGACUUCUGGGUGCCUUUGUUCAGAAUCGUGAUGCUGCCUGCUGAGAAGAAAAUAAUGCCCCUCGUUCAGAGCCACCUGAGCGUUUAUUCACUGGCUUUAUUUUCACCUAAUGUGACAUUUGCUACUGCUUUUCAUAUCUUGAGCAAAGUGUCUCCAAUAAACAGGUGUAUUUUAAAGAGCUCUUAUCAAUGAAUCAGUGAGACAAAUUAGUUUCUAAAAUCCUGUUCCCCCGAACAGAUGUCUGGAAAUUUCUCAGGACUUCCAGAAGGGAGUCUUUGCCAUGAGACUUUCUACUUUGCGUGGUGAUUAGGAACUGAUUCCACUGCUAAGAGCUUAUCAUUUGAUGGGAGAGGGGAGUUGUUGGCAGGAAGUUGAGCGUGCAGCUCCAUGUAACAGUGAGGCUGGCAGACCAGUUCAGCCUGCAAGCUAAGCCAUGGCCCCAUCGGGGUCUCUGGGUCAGGCAAAACCAGAGUCAGGUAGAGAGACGGAGAGCUUGGUCUUCCCUGGGGAUGAGGGGCAGAGCCAGAUGCAGGUUUUAUGAGCCCUAACGUUUAUGCAGUUUGGGGAGCCCUCCUUCAUAAAACAACACAAAAUUAUGAAAACAAAAUUAGGCACAAAAGCGAAUCUGUAUUUCAAAUGAGGAACUAAGUCACAGCCAAUUACAAACAAUAAAAACAUUAAAAUUUUUUUUUUACUUAGGAAUUCCCUUUGUGGCUCAGUGGUAACAAACCUGACCAGUAUCCAUGAGGAUGCGGGUUGAAUCCCUGGCCUCGCUCUGUGCUGCUGUGGCUGUGGUGGAGGCUGGCAGCUGUAGCUCCAAUUUGACCCCUAGCCUGGGAACUUCCAUGUGCCGCAGGAGCGGCCCUAAAAAGCCAAAAUAAAUAAAUAAACAAUCAAAUAAAUAAAUAAAUAUUUAAAAAGAUAAAAAACCCCACAGACAUGACAAAAAUUCAUUAAAAAUGAACAUAAUUUCAACUCAGCCAUCAAAAAGAACGAAAUACCAGCAUUUUUAGCAACAUGGAUGGACCUAGAAACUAUCAUGCUAAGUGAAGUCAGCCAUACAAUGAGGCACCAACAUCAAAUGCUUUCACUGACAUGUGGAAUCUGAGAAAAGGACAGACGGAACUUCUUUGCAGAGCAGAUGCUGACUCACAGACAUUGAAAAACUCCAGAGGAGACAGUUUGGGCUGUGGGAUGGAAAUCCUGUGAAAUCAGAUUGUUAUGAUCAUUAUACAACUACAGAUGUGAGUUAAAAAAAAAUGGACAUAAUUUCAAAAAGUCCAUUGCUCGACCUGCCCGGAUGAUAUUUUUAUUCCCACAUUUUGGGGGCUGAAUUUUGCUGUCCUCUGUCAUAUUGCAACUCCUUUUGCAAAAGCGUUUCUCCAGAAAUCAAAAAUGGCUCCAAUUUUCUUUCAUAGUUGGCUAAACUUUGAUGUUUUGGGGGCUUAAUUUUGAAUGUUUCUUUUAGCUUCACCAUGCCUUGCUGAUAGUGUCAUAAAUUACUGCGUAUGUGAGGAACCCUCUCUUACCGUGCUUGCAUUUGUCAGUGGGAAGAUUUCAAGGCUUUCCCCCAUCGUCUCGGGCACAGACAUCCUCUCCUCUCUGAAUUGAUGACACUCAUUAGGCAGCUGCCUCUGCUAUUCACGCCGUUAGUGAUGGAUUCAGAGCUUCAGCGCAUCUUCACGGGUGUCAGUAUUUCAUGCCAAUCCAGUGUGAAAUCAAUAAGAGCCACAGCGAUGGUUGGGCUAGGACAUUUCUGGCUGAGGGGAAGGGUCACACUUCAUAAGACAAAGGUGAAGGGCCCACUUUGGGGAAGUGGGGCAUCCAGGCAGCUCCCGGGGCGGGGGGAGCCUUAAGGCUGGAAAGCACAUGAGAGCAGACGAGAGCAGGAAAACAGUGCUGGCAAGCCUCUGAAAAGAGACUAACUUGCCUUGGCUUAAGGAAUUAAAAUCCUGUCCAUGCCUCUCUCAGCAUGUGACAGCCAAUGCAGUGGAUUCUAAAGAUCGGGUCAGACAAGCCUCGGUUUGACUCUUCCCUGGCACUUCAUGGCUGGGGAAAACUUGCCACACACGGCCUCGUGGUACUCAAGUCAUUGUGGGCUGGAUACAUUUAUACCCAUCAUCCAAACUGAAUGUAUUUCCAAAGGAACUUUUCCUUGGCCUGAUCCCCAAAAUGCUGCUGAUCUUUGAAGGCCUCAGACUGGAGGGGCAUUGAGCCCCAUGCUGGGGAGCUGGAGUAGCAAGGGGCCGAUUCUGAAUCAUUUGAAGUGACUGUAGCUUGCUUUUGCAAGUUUUGCUAAAAUAUAUGACCACGAGAACAUACCGUUAGAGCACACACCUCCCAAGACCUGAGAAGAGGCCCAGGUAAGCCAGGGGUCCUGAAAUUUAAGCCCCAUUAGCCUUAUGGCAGAUGCACCUCUGGGAAGGCUGCCUGGAGGAAGAGGCAGGUGAGCCAGGCCUAGGAGUCUUUGGCUGGACCUUGAGAGUGGACAUUUCAAGUGCAGGGAUUAAAGUGAGAAAAGCUGUCCAGGGUUCCCGAAUGGAGAGAAGCCUUGACUGCUUGGCUGAAGGGCUGACUUGAUCCUGGAGACGAUGGGGAGCUGUAGCAUGUAGGUGAUUACGGUCCUUGGGGAGGGUUAGUCUGACAGCAGGCGUCGGACAAGAGAUGAGCAGCAGCCCAUGAGGAGGGACCUGGGUCAGAGUACUAGGACUUUUGAAGGACCAGGAAAGGGAGGUCUGAUCGGAGAAGGCUUUAGAAGGCAGAGCCACCAAGGCUGGGGUGUGGGGAUACAAAAGACCCAGGAGAACCCAGGCAGCACUGCUGUACUGACGGCUCAGGAUGUUAACAGGUGUUACUUGAAAGAAAAAGAAUGAUAUGGCCAAAUACAUCUUGGAAACACUGAUGAUAAUAUAACUGCACAGGGAGUUUCUGUUGUGGCUCAGCAGUAAUGAGCCUGACUGGUAUCCACAAGGAUGAGGGUUCAAUCCCUGGCCUCGCUCAGUGGGUUAAGGAUUCAGCAUUGCUGGGAGCUGUGGUGUAGGUCGCAGAUGUGGCUCAGAUCCCGCAUUGCUGUGACUGUGGUGUAGGCUGGCAGUGGUAGCUCUGAUUCGCCCCCUAGCUUGGGAACCUCCAUAUACCAAGG
rnacentral:lncRNA from 1 species